GAUGAACGCUAGCUACAGGCUUAACACACGCAAGUCGAGGGGAAACGAUAUUGGAAGCUUGCUUCCGAUAGGCGUCGACCGGCGCACGGGUGAGUAACGCGUAUCCAACCCGCCCAUCACUUGGGGAUAACCUUGCGAAAGUAAGACUAAUACCCAAUGACGUCUCUAGAAGACAUCUGAAGGAGAUUAAAGAUUUAUCGGUGAUGGAUGGGGAUGCGUCUGAUUAGCUUGUUGGCGGGGUAACGGCCCACCAAGGCGACGAUCAGUAGGGGUUCUGAGAGGAAGGUCCCCCACAUUGGAACUGAGACACGGUCCAAACUCCGACGGGAGGCAGCAGUGAGGAAUAUUGGUCAAUGGGCGAGAGCCUGAACCAGCCAAGUAGCGUGCAGGAAGACGGCCCUAUGGGUUGUAAACUGCUUUUAUAAGGGAAUAAAGUGGGAGUCGUGACUCCUUUUGCAUGUACCUUAUGAAUAAGGACCGGCUAAUUCCGUGCCAGCCGCCGCAGUAA
rnacentral:rRNA from 1 species